rfam:Prevotella sp. CAG:732 genomic scaffold, scf18
ACGAAAAAUCACGGGGUGCUGAGAGAAUCGGCUGAGAUGAUACCCAUUGAACCUGAUGCAGAUAAUGCUGACGCAGGGAGAUAUGAUAUUACCGAA